AGAUGUGAGGGCCUGGCUGGACCAUCUGUCACCUCAGAGGCCACCAGGUUGAUUCAGCUGACCCGGCUGGUUGGGGGGGUUCCCUUCCUCACUGCUCCGUGCUGAUGGGAUAGCUGAGGGCCGUUUCCAUGGUCAAGGUGUAGGAGGAGCUGCAUUGCCCUGCCAGAACCUGCACAGCUCUGAGAAGGGCUCGGUGUAGCGCAGUGGUGGUGUGUUCAUAGGCACAAGCCCCGGUUUGAUCUUCACCAAGGAAGAGAAAUACUAUAA
rnacentral:snRNA from 1 species